AGAUUUUACCUUCCCAAUUAGGGGGUUCCUGCUUGGGACAGGACUACUCUAUUGAGUUAGUUGUAAGUUGGAAAUAUUUCUGCCUGGCACGAGACAGAUGCCUCCGGCACUUUGUUGGAAUAAUCGCCAGAUGGCAGCAUUACAUCAACCACAGGGCAGAAGAAUCCGGUCCCUGCCCAAGGACCUUUGCAAUGGCUAAAAUUAGUAAGAAAAGUCAACCUGCUUUUCUGCGCUGGGCUGGUAAUAAAAGCUUCUGAAUUCUAGGUGGAAAGUUCAUGUUUAAAAUAGUCUGCAGUUCACAGAAGCUAUAAAAUUGAAACAUACAUGGAAGAGGGAGAAAAAGCAAAGAGGUGGUGGGGUGUGAAAUGUGCUAAAGUUGUGCAGAGCAAUAUAAAUAUUUCAACCUCAGACUGUUUGGAGUUAACCAUCUUCAUCAAUCAAUUCUACUUUACCUAUUUCAUCCCCACGUUCCUAUCUCUCCUGUCCUCCAAUGGUACAACAUUCUGUGACAGCUGUGUGGUGAAGCUGAGUCACCAAGCAAGUUAUCGUACAGUUGGAAUGGAUGUUAGAGAUUAGGCAAUCGCCAAUGACUUUAGGAGCUGGGCAGGUGGCGUAAGUAUGUGAAGCAGCUAGGCUUCAAGACAAUCGGCGGUAGAGUGAAUUGUUCUUACCAGAGAGCAGUUGUUCCUUUGAAGGCAUUUUACACAAUUAAUUUUAGAGGUUUUGUAGAACAAACAAAACCUCUCUAUAGUCCCUAGGUUGGAAGACAGGAUGGUGCCACCUCCCUUCCAGAACAUUCCUUAGAGAUGGUCGGUUAGCUAGUGCUGACUCACUUUUGGUGACAAGGAAUGCCUCCUAUGUGGUCAGAGCACAUCUUGCCUUUUGGGAAGUUCAUCUUUGUGUUGGCCAAAUCUACCUUAGCAUUUUACAUCUGUCGGUCUUAGCUCUGCUCCUUGGAGUAGUGCAGAAUAUGUUAAAGUCCUUUCCUGAAGACAGCUCGCUGAUGCUCUCCAGGCCUUUCUCCUCAGCUUAACUCUCCCCAGACCCUUUAAUCAUCCAUCAUGGGCAGGCUUUUCGGGCUGUUUGUGUCUUGUACUUUUGAAUAGGCUCUUACGUAAUGCUUGCUGUAAAACCUGUCACCCAGUUGGGCUUCAGUAGUAGAGAUCAUGUCUGACCAUCACGGAAGGGAGGAGGACUGCUCUUUUCCUAUUUCUAGUUAGUUCCCUCCCACACACAGCCUAAGUGUGUGUUAGUUUAGUCAGAAGUUGUGUUCCCAGUGUUAGGUUACACUGAUUUCAGUCUCUAUUUUGAAAUCAAUAAGUAAAUGUUUUGAAACCUAAGUGAAUGGUUUAGUUUGCAUCCUUGUGAAAUUUGAUCUAGCUUGUUUGGGUCCUGUCAAGAAUAACUUUAAUCUUCAUUCUGAAAUAGAUUUGUGUUGUCUAUGGCACUGAAAAACAUUCCUGCUGUAGGACAGGUCACUGUUAAUAUUCUGAAGAGAAUAGGCCAGAGAGAUAGAGCCUGGCAGAACCUUCUACUGGAAACCUUCAUUCCUAGCAGAUGGUCAUUGGGCCCUGCAGGGUCCUACACUGUGCUAGAUACUUGUUGGCCAGCGUCAACAAAGGAAGAAUAUAUGGAUGUUCUAUUUCCCAAGGCUUUUCUUAUCUGAAGUGUUGCUUCAUAUGACAACUUGAAAGGACAUUAGCCACCCAAGCUUGGAAGAAAGACGUGCAGAGGAUGGGGAUGCUGCUUUCCAUCUCUGCCAAGUUUAGUUACUUUCAUCUCUUUCCUGUUCGCCUGCAUUUUUUUUUUUUUGAGACAGUGUCUUGCU